CUCCUUAGAGCUGUGGUUGAAAGUCGAAGCCAGUCGCAGGCGAAACGACCCACGUAAGGUAACUUUGGUUACUGAGCAUGGUGCGGCUUUGGAGUAAGUCCUGCCUUAACCCUAAUAGGUUAUAACAAUAAGAGAAGAGUAGUAGUGAAGGACAAAGUUCCCGAGCAAACCUCUCAGCAGGCGAGUGUGGGGGCAAAGACCAGGUCAGUCUAAGGAA
rnacentral:ncRNA from 12 species